rnacentral:lncRNA from 1 species
GAUCAAGUCACAAUUAGCAUAAAAUUGAUCACAACCAAUCACAAUAAACACAUAUUUGGUUACAGAGUGUCAUCACAAACAAAUCUACACACAUCGCAGAACAGUACCUCCAAUUACCACCAUCAUCACCUCCAAUGCCCCCAUCAUUACAACUUCAACUCAAAUUCACAAUCAGAAAUAACACAUUCACCCCAAAUCUACAGCAACAACCACAAGUACAAUGUCAAAUCCACAACAACCAUCACCUCAAAUUCAUAGCAACAAUCCACCACUAUUAUGUUACCAUUACCUCUAUCUACAAUCCCGUUUUCACCUUCAAUUUCCUCCUUUCAAGGCAAGCAUGCCCCUACCCAUAGUAUCCGUAGCUCAAAACGCCCACAACUUAAAACGCCACCAACAACAAACCACUCACAGGUUACCCACAGUAAACUGGAUCAGAAAAGCUAGUAACAAAUUCCAAAGAUUAAAAUGCAGAUCGACAGAUUGGCACUGUUUGCAAAUCAACACUCCAACAACAAAAUCAGCAAUGUUCCUCCUCUUGUAGCAGUAGUAACAUUGUCGACCUAGUGAGAAGCUUCGUCGCAUCGUUGCUGCUUGUAGAAAUAGCGAUGACGUUGGUGACAACAAGCUUCGCUGCCAGGCGCUGCUUGUAGCAGUAGUGGUGUCGUUGACACGACUACUUGCAACAGCGCUCGCAACGUCGUUGGCGCGACUAAAAGCUUCGCCACACCAUUGCUGGUGCGAGCAACACUGCCGCAAUCGACGUGACAAGAAACUCCACCCCGACCUGUGAUUCUGGUUAUCACUGGUUGGAAUGAAUGGUUGAGUAGGAGUGUGGUUGAUAAAUAGAGAAAGGGAGGUAAAGAGAAGACGGAAUAGGGUGAAAUUGAUUUUUAGGAUGAAUGUAUGGGGGUUGUGUGGGGAGUGGGGAUUUAUGUAGAUUAGGUGCAAUUAAAUUUUUAUUAAUUUUAGUUAUUAAAACCUAAUCAACACCUGAUUUGUGAAAAUGAAAUUUAAUUCCUUGUUUUUUGAAAAUUAAUUUUUGUAGGUAAUUUUUCCAUUUUUGAAUGAAACCAAAUAGGGAUUAUGGGCCGUUUGACAUGACCUUUGAGAAGCCCAAAUGAUUUUUUGUGACUCAAAAAAUGUUUUUGAAUUCAUUUAUUAGCAGACUUGACCCGAAUUUUUCAUUUGUGCCACUAACGAUACCAAAUCUUUCAAAAAUUUGCAGUUGAAGUCCAGAUGGAUGGAAACCAUGGCAUUAUGACCAUAAUUUUAACUGAUUUUAAAAGGAUAAAACGAUAACUUUUCAUUUUUCAACAAAAAAAAACAUAAUUACAAUAUAAUGAUAAUUAAAUCAAAUAAAACAAAAACCACUAUUCAUCUUCUUCUCCCCUCAUCCCUACCCACCCCAAAACCCAAACCCAUCAUACACUUCACAUUUAUGCACAUUAAAACUGAAAGUGAAUCUCAAUUGCUGUGAAGCAUGUCCAAAGAAACUGGAGAAAGCAUUAUUCAAUCUCAUAGGUAAUUACUAUUUUCAGUAAAACCACAGUUUACUUGAGUUCUUGCUCAUUAUGUUUAGGGUUUUAUGUCUAUUUUUCUCUUUUGCACAAUUUCAAUCUAUUCUUGAUUUUGUAAUUAUGUUUUUGUCUAUAGUAGGUGUCUCUUCACACACUAUAAGUAUAGAGGAAAAUCUUGCAUCCCUCUUAGGAACAAUGGAUCCAGAUACAAUCAUCAAACUUAUUUAUGCCAAAUUAGCAAAAAAGACAAAGCUCGUCUCCUAAGAGCUACAAUCUACAGACGACAAAGGGGAAAAAUCAAAGAACACAAAAUCUGUGAAGGAUAAAGAUUCGAACAACAAAAGUAAAUCUCAAUACAAAGAAGAAAUGCACCAAACUUGCUAUUGUCAAUAUGGAUCUUGUCCUAUGAUGGGAAAUAAUGUGCAUAAAUGUGAAGUGUAUGAUUGGUUUUGGUUUUAGGUUGGGUGGGUGUGAGGGGGUGAAUGGAGAAGAAGAUAAAUAUUGGUUUUUUUUAUUUAAUUAUUAAUAUAUUGUAAUUAUGUUUUUUGUUGAAAAUGUAAUGUUAUCAUUCUAUCAUUUUUUUAAUUAGUCAAAAUUAUGAUCAAUGUCAAUUUUUGGUCAACUGAAAGUCAAAUUAAAAGUUUAUAUCUAUCUGGACUUCAACUGCGAAUUUUUGAAAGGUUCGGUAUCGUGGUUGGCACAAAUAAAAGGUUUGGACCAAGUCUGCUAAUAAAUUAAAAGUUUGAUACAUCACCUGCAAUUUUCCAUAAUUAAUUAUCAUCCAAACCUAGAAAGUUAGGGUUUGAAAUUUACAUAUUCAAGAUAUCCUUCUCAAUCACCCAGUGUCAUUUGUGGCGUCUCUUCAAGUAGUGGUGUUCUUGUCCUAGGUCUAUACAGAUCGGUGGUGGUGUCUUGGGUCUAAUAGUUGUACUCUAAUUUCGAACUCUCUCUUGGGUGGUUCUUUGCACAUAGUGACAGGCUCUUUACUAUUUUUGUGCGAGUUUGUGAUUUGGCGAUUUACAUACUGCCUAUUUUAGUGUGCACAAUCCUAGAAAGUUAGGGUUUAAAAUUUACAUUUUCGAAACAUAUUUCUUAAUCAGCUAGUGUCAUGCAUGGCAUCUCUUCGUUGUGUUGUUCUUCUCUUGAGUCCUCUUCAUGCAAAGAAAGACUACGAAGUAUAACUUUUUUUUAUUGCAAAAAAAAAAAGAAAAAACAGUUGGUUAGUGGAAAGGGUGAAGAAAGAAAUUAGGUAGGUGUAGGUGUUGGGUUUUGGAGAGAGGGAACACAUAAUUUUGGGAAAAACUUUGAGAAAAAAUGAAUUUUAAAGAAUAUAUACUAAACAUGACAUAAGUAAAACAAGUGCUUAAAUUAGGGUAAAAUGAGGGAGACUGUGAAUGCUAUAAUAAAAAGUUUAUAAAAAUUUUUUAAAGUAAAAACUUUCUUGCUUGGAAUUAAUCCAACCCAUCCAUGUCUCUUUCUUUGUAACUGCGCCUCAAAUAUGGACAAGUUGAUAAUUUUCUACCUCAUGCGGUUGAGCACUUUGAUGGCUAUUGUCAAUAACCCAUCCCAUCACAUCCAACACACCAUUUUUCAGCUAAUUAUGUCAUUAUUUAUAUAAAUUAACAAUACCCAACUUGCUUUACUCUAAUGCUUAGAUUGAGAUCCAUUUGACCCAAUUUUUAUAAUUCAUUUUCUUCGAAUUCAUUUUAAAUUAUACAUUUUCCCGGACAUACACCUUUUAUUAAUUUUUUAAUCACAUAUUUUAUUAAUUUUUAUUAAAAUUUGCUAAAAGACUAAUUUAGGCUAAAUCAAUCAUGGGCUAAGUUGAAUAGAUCCAAUGUCACAUUAAUUCAGUUAAUUAAGGUCAAGUGGGCUAGCUCAAUUAAGCUAUAUAUUCAAGUUGAUUAAAAGUAGGCAUCAAAAGUUGAUACCUACUUAACAAGGUUUGAUACAUUGUAUCUAUUUCUCUACAAAAUCUAAGAUAUAUAAAUACUACUUAUUUUUUAAAACGAUGUUACACAACAUAUCUACAUUGCAGAAACAGACAUAUGCACAACCGCGUGGGACAUCAAGAUUAUUGUCGCCAACUUUCUUCUCUAUUCCACAAGUCUAUUUUAGAGUAAACCGACUUAAAUUAAGUGAAUGUAACAAAGAGAAGUAUAAUCAAUUACGCACUAUUAUCUCAUUUUGGUUAAACAUGCGCACAUUAAGAAAAUCAUAUUGGGAUUAGGUUUGACUCAUAAAUAUAACACUUUUGUUUUUCCUUAUUACAAGAAUCUUGUGGGCGAGAGGACGUUAUAUACGGAAGCAUUGAUAUGUUAUAUCGUUACAAUAUUUGUUGAGCUAGAUUCCAAAAAAUAAAAAAAUAAUACUAUAUUUAAUUCUCAACUUUAUUUUAUAAAUUGCAAUUUCUGCAAUAUUUCAACUAUGCUAGUCCUAGUAGUACAAUUUUUUUCAUUAUUUUAUUACCUUUUUUACAUUUUUGGUCAUCCAAUGAAUUAUUCAUUAUUAAAAUAUAUAGAAGACAUUGUAUGCUCUCAACUUGGCUAUUUUUUGAGUCCAUACUUCACAUGAACACGUUCACAGUAUUAAAUAAUUUGGACUGACUUUGACUAACUUGUGUGGGUAUGAGAUGCGUUCGUCUUUUUAUUAUUUGUGAAAAGUUUUUGGGCCAACAUUCUCUGUAUUUUCACAUUUUUACGUUGUUACAACUCAUCCCACUUUCGCAACUUGCGUCAAGGUUUUGUUUUGCUUGAAGAUUUAGAAACUGUGUUUUUGUUCGAUGUAUCUAAAAAUUUGAUUUUUAGUCAAUUUUAAUAAAAUUAAUAAAACGUAUGAUAAAAAUGUUGAUAAAGAUUAUAGGGCAUAUUAAAUAUGUGACUAAAAUUAAUUGUUGAUUUUUAAAUUUUAUCAAAUUUUUGAAGGGAACAAUACAUAACUCAUAUACUAUAUAUAAGAAUUACAUUUAAAAAACUAACAAACUUGUUAAUUCAAUUUAAAAAUUCAAGUGUUAAUUGUCCCCACUCAAUUAAUAGUAUCUGUAAAAAAAAUUAAAAAAUUGAAAUUUUUUCUCGAGAUUACACCCCACCCCAACCCGCUCCCCAACCUUUAGAAAAUUCAAUAAUUUUAAUUUUAAUUUUUUUUUUCAGAUUACACCCUACGCCACCCCACAGAAGCGCCCUAGAUUUGUCACUAACUUUGUUAUUUGGGAUCAAAUUAUUUUUUUGACCAAACCUUUGUUAUAUGUGACUAAUUGUGACUAAAUUUAUCUUUAGUGUGGCUGUUCGUGACUGUUUAAUUUGCGAUUAUAUGUAAUCAAGUUACCAAAUUGUGUUAUAUAUGAUCAACUAUGCUCAAAUUUGUCUUCGGUGUGACUAUCUGUAAUUGUCUAAUUUGUGUAACCAGGUCAUUAAUCUAUGUCAUCUAUAACUAAUUGUGAUCAAAUUUGUCUUCAAUGUUACUAUCUGUGACCUAAUAUGUUUUCAGUGUAACUACUUGUAAUUUGAUCAAUCUUAAUUGUGACAGUAUGUGAUCAAGUCACAAUUAGCAUAAAAUUGAUCACAACCAAUCACAAUAAACACAUAUUUGGUUACAGAGUGUCAUCACAAACAAAUCUACACACAUCGCAGAACAGUACCUCCAAUUACCACCAUCAUCACCUCCAAUGCCCCCAUCAUUACAACUUCAACUCAAAUUCACAAUCAGAAAUAACACAUUCACCCCAAAUCUACAGCAACAACCACAAGUACAAUGUCAAAUCCACAACAACCAUCACCUCAAAUUCAUAGCAACAAUCCACCACUAUUAUGUUACCAUUACCUCUAUCUACAAUCCCGUUUUCACCUUCAAUUUCCUCCUUUCAAGGCAAGCAUGCCCCUACCCAUAGUAUCCGUAGCUCAAAACGCCCACAACUUAAAACGCCACCAACAACAAACCACUCACAGGUUACCCACAGUAAACUGGAUCAGAAAAGCUAGUAACAAAUUCCAAAGAUUAAAAUGCAGAUCGACAGAUUGGCACUGUUUGCAAAUCAACACUCCAACAACAAAAUCAGCAAUGUUCCUCCUCUUGUAGCAGUAGUAACAUUGUCGACCUAGUGAGAAGCUUCGUCGCAUCGUUGCUGCUUGUAGAAAUAGCGAUGACGUUGGUGACAACAAGCUUCGCUGCCAGGCGCUGCUUGUAGCAGUAGUGGUGUCGUUGACACGACUACUUGCAACAGCGCUCGCAACGUCGUUGGCGCGACUAAAAGCUUCGCCACACCAUUGCUGGUGCGAGCAACACUGCCGCAAUCGACGUGACAAGAAACUCCACCCCGACCUGUGAUUCUGGUUAUCACUGGUUGGAAUGAAUGGUUGAGUAGGAGUGUGGUUGAUAAAUAGAGAAAGGGAGGUAAAGAGAAGACGGAAUAGGGUGAAAUUGAUUUUUAGGAUGA